CAGGCUCCAGGCUCUGAGCUGUCCGCACAGAGCCCGAUGCGGGGCUCGAACCCACAAAGGAGAGAUCAUGACCUACGCUGAAGUAGGAUGUUCAACCGACUGAGCCACCCAGGCGCCCCUUAAAGUGGAUUAUUCUUAAAACAGUUUGAAGAGAGUUAUGAACCAAGGGAGAAAGACAAAUGGCCAGUUUGCUUGGUUCUCAUUCAGGACCAUAUUUAAAUAUAAAUCUCAAUAAUGAGAUAUUACUUAUCUGGCAAAACCCAAAAGUUCGAUAGUGCUAGGUUUUGGUGAGGAGACAGAAGACAAGUCACUCUAAGAUGCUUCGGAGGUGGGACUAGGAACUGCCAGAGCCAUUCUGUGGGGCCACUGGGGGGAAAUCUUCAAAAUGCUAAACAUACGUUUUCACAAAUUCCAUUUCUAGGAAUUUACUAAUAUAUUUGCCAAGACACAUCUAUGGGGAUGUAUCACUCAGGACAAAUGGACACGCUGUGCCUCCUGAUAUGAUGUACGAGAAGACCGCAAUAUUAUUUCUGUGGCAUUUGUGACGGAAAUUAAUAACUUGAAUCUAAUCGUGAGGAAACAGCAGAUACAUACAGAGGGACAUCCUACAAAGUAACUAGCCUGUAUGCUUCAAAAAAAAGUCAAGAAAGAUAAAGGCUGAGAGAAUGUUCCAGAUUCAGAGACUAAAGAGACAAGACAGCUAACUGCGCUCUGUGGUCCUGGGCCAGAAAAAAAUGUUUUUCUUUUGUUGGGAAGGCCAUUAAUGGCACAAUUGGCACAUUUUUAAUAUCUAUAGAUUAAAUAAUAGUAUUGUAUUACUGUCCUUGUUUGGAUCAUUGUACUGUGUCUUUGACAAAGAGUGCCCUUGUUUUUAGGAGACGCUUGAGUGUUUUGGGGUAAAUGAACAUCACGCCUACAACUCCCUCUCAAAUAUUUCCGGGACAGUUACAUAUAUGUGUUUAUAUGAUACUGGUUAAGAGGUAAACUAGGGCAUAUUAAGAGUUGUAAGAUUCCUUUGAGCAAGAAUCCGUUUGGGGCACUGCGAAACCAGGAAUGCCAGGGAAAAGGCUUCUGUAUACAAGGGAGGGUGGCGAGGAAAGGAAGUUCUCUGAUUGGCUGUGUAUAGUUUUUCAUGUUUGUUUCUUUAUUUUUGAGAGAGGGAGAGAAAGGCAGGCCGAGAGAGAGGAGAGAGAAUCCCAGGCAGGCCCUGAGCUGUCUGCGCAGAGCCCGAUGGGGGGGCUCUUUCUUGGGAACCACGAGAUCGUGGCCUGAGCCGAAAACCAGCGUCUGUCGCUUGACUGACUGAACCACCCAGGUGCCCCUGAUUGGCUGUGUCUUAAAGCUUAGUCUGCUCUUUUGUGAUUGGUUAUCCCUGGAUUCCGAUCUCAUAACUUGGGGGCAUCUAAAGACUUCGAGUCUUGGUUGCUCAGGCAGCCCCAGCCCUGGAGCCACCUCAGUCUAAUAGGCUCCCCAUUUGAUUAGUUUAACAUCUCUCCAUCUAUCUGUAAAAAGAAUGAUAAUGCAAAGACAUUGUGUUGUUAGCAUGUUAGCACUUGGGGAAUGUGGAUGAAAAGUACUCAAGAGUUCUUUGUCCUGUUUUUGCACCUUUUCUGUAAGUCUUAAAUUACUUAAAAAUAAAAAUGAGGUGGUUUCUUCACAUCUUUUGGAGGUGACUUAGAAUUUUUAAGAGUAUUAUAAAUUUAUGAAUUCAAACCUAUUUAAUGAUUUUUAAUUCAUUGCGGUUAUUACUUUCAUUGAAAUUCAAAUGGUCUUCUCUUUGUUUCCUGAGUCCUUUCCCAUGACCGUAGCACUUUUGAUGGUUUCCUUCCUGACAAAUAGGCAGGUGUAUCAGGCUCAUUCCAUAUAUCCCCUCCCCCAGACCUGAAAUCAGCCACUUUCUCAGUAAGUGUUGGUUUCUUUUUGUGGGAAAGAGUAUGUCAGAACUACGAUCUAGUUGCUAGAGGUAUUUAUUUCUAGUGAACGUAUAGUUAUUUCUAGUUCAGUAUAGUGAACGUAUAGAGAGAUGAGAAACUCAUGAUUUCAUACUGAGGUAUCUGACGCAUAACUUAGUACCUUACUUCAUCAGUCUGUGCAACUACGUCUCCUUUCUUCCAUACUACUAGUCCUGGCUCGGACACGGGGAAUUCUAGAAUUAGGCCCUGUAUUUUCCCCUUUGCUUUCUCCACAUCACAGACACGGCAGCCUCAGAAUAACAAUCCCAGAACGGUUUUCACCAGUAUAAUUACCGAAGAAAACAGUGACAUUUUUUUCCAUACGUUCUUUUUCCUCACCUCUGCUUUUAAAUGGUUAUACUAAAUCUGCAUUGACAAACUUACAGCCAUCAUGUAUUACACCCUCUCCCAUUUAAUUCUCAUUUGGUCUAUUUAAUGCUCACCACCAGUCUUUAUUUAAAGUCUGUGUAGCCAUUGUGUUGUCUGGUGCUUAUCCUGUCAAAGAUUCCUCAGGAAGGGUUCCCGGGAACUGUAUUCUCCGAGGUUUUGUAUGUUGGCCCCAGUUUGUGCCCUUCAUACUUGAAAGUCAGUUUUUUAUCCUAGUUGGGUUCAUUCCUUAAUUUUACUAAUAUCCAUACGAACCUGCACAUUACAGUAUACGUGUGUGUGUACACAUUACAACAUCCAUACCCAUUUUGGUGAAUAAUUUUGAAAUAUGGU